UUAAAAACAAAAAAAUUAAAAGAGGCCAAAGAGGGGAAGUUAUAUACUACAUAUCUUCAGUACUUGUUUGAAAACUCAUUUACCAAACUUUUUCAUUCAGAUCCUGCUGUUCUUCUUUCCCUUUAUCUGAAUACUUUUGGUGCUUGUGAGGCUGCAUUUGGAGUGCUGUGUCCAGGUUUGAGCUCUCUGGUGCAAGGAAGACACUGACUUGUGGAGCCAGUCCGAUGGAGUGCUGCCAGCCUGGGUUUUUAUUGUUGUUCACACUGCUGUGUAUUCAGAAAUCCUCACUUCAUAUUGGUACAGAAUUGGUAUUCAGAAAGACAUUUCAGCUAGAGAACAACGUCCCAGAUCAGCAUCCCAAGAAAUAUUUAUCUUCACAUUAUUCAGUUCAUGGAACAGGAACGAGGGAAGGUAACAGACUGGCUUCUUGUAACUUUUUCAUAGUGGAAUG